rnacentral:lncRNA from 1 species
AAAAGAGGAUCAACAAAGGGAGUUCUCUUAUUUCCUUUGCAACUUGGUUUAUUGUUAAUUACCUUGUUAAUUACGUUUAGACGGUGAGUGUGUCUUCAAGGGCUCAAAGUGUCCAAGAAGCCUCACCUAGGGCCGACUAGUAUAGAAUUCUUAAUUAGCAAUUGUUAAUUGUUUGUAAUUGCCUUUUCUUUUGCUUAAUUAGUAACGCUUUGUAUGUGUGGUUGUUUUUAAGCUUUGUUAAAACCGUCUAGCUUUGUUAAUUAGUUAGCAUACAUUGUUUUUCUUGCA